GUCCACGCUGUAAACGAUGUCUACUGGCCGUUGGCCUCCUUGAGGGGUUAGUGGCGCAGCUAACGCGAUAAGUAGACCGCCUGGGGAGUACGGCCGCAAGGUUAAAACUCAAAUGAAUUGACGGGGGCCCCGCACAAGCGGUGGAGCAUGUGGUUUAAUUCGACGCAACGCGAAGAACCUUACCUACUCUUGACAUCCUGCGAAGCCUGUAGAGAUAUGGGUGUGCCUUCGUGAGCGCAGAGACAGGUGCUGCAUGGCUGUCGU
rnacentral:rRNA from 1 species